CGCUCUCUCCCUCAUGAACCCCUCUCUGUCUUGCAACCUCUCCCUUCCCCCCAUGAACCUCUCUCCCUCGCCGCCACCCACCACCCACAUCGGCCAGUUCCGUCGAGCUCCAGCGGCGCGUAUCACACCCCGAGCUCCCCUAUGUCCGCACCUCCUUCCCCUCCGGCUAGAAUCAGCGCUCAAGCCGUCCACCAGCCCCCGUGGUAGCUAGGGCUUCGGCCGCCACCCCUUACCUGGCCGGGAUCCGCCACAUCCGGCGACGUCGAGGCCAGCGGGCGCCGGAUCCGUCACCGGCGUGCCCAGGUUGGUCCCUCUCCUUCUUGUUCGCCCUACCCUCUUCUCCCCACCUCACCUAUUCUUUCCUGUGAUUUCCUUUCAUGCAUAUCCAUGGCGUGAACGGAAGAGAAGCAGGACAGGCACAGAUGGAGGAACACCGUCUUCAUCCCCUGCCCCGACGCCAAAGGUGAUUGCGUCAAAAACAUGGAGGCGUUCAGGAAGCGGGCGGGCAAGUUCAAGGAGCAAGUCGCCGAGCAGCAGCAGAUAAUAUAUUUGAGCACGCGGAUGCCGGAGGGGUCGUGCCUGAGGAGACCGAGCUCGCCAUGCUGCUCAUUUUCAAUGCCAACAAGGGAAGGGCCGACGAGGAGAACAGGGUCCCUACACCAAGAGGUAACUGGCGCAACAGCUGUAACUUGAGACGCUGGACUGGAGGAAGGACCAUGAGGAGAACAACUACAUAAUGUUAUGGAUGAACAGGAUGAUGGGAGGGUGAAUCAGAUCUAGGAGCACAUCGACUACGAGGUUUGCCAACACGACAAGUACCGUAUGUGUGUCUACUCAUCCAACCUGGACGAAAUGCUUCUCGGAAUUCUUAAAGAGGAAGACAAUGGAGCCAUGCUGUUGUUGUGCAACAGGCUAUGUUUUUUGUAAUACCAUUUGUCUUGGCUGUGUAUCUUACUUUGUGUGUGCUAGGAUACUCAAAAAGCUAUCUCUGUAAUUUAAAUCUGUGUUAUGUUGUCUGGUGUGUGUAACCUUAUUUUGUGUGUGCUGGGAUACUCAAAAAGAUAUCUGUCUAAUUUAAAUCUGUGUUAUGUUGUC